AUUUAUUCAAUUUAUAUACUUCAAGUUCUGCUAGUUUUUUCUGUAGCAAAUAAAUCUCAUAUAAUAAUACAUUUACAUAUAUUUUUUACAUUUUCUUCGCCAACUUUUUGUACUGGCGGGAUAUCCCACUACCAGUAAACGCCUCUUUUUUUUACGACUCCGGCUCACUCGCACGUCUCCGCCCACUUCCCCGAUCGCUGCGAUUGAAACAGAUCUUUGGUUUUGCCUUUGCUGACUGCUGAUCUGAUCGUCUCAAGUCUGGUGACCUGCUGCAGAAGCUCUCUCCCUCUAUCAUUAACAAGCCAUUCAGUCUGUCCUAUCACUCUACCCACUCUAUCUAUUUUGACAAGACGUUCUAUCUUGCUUCACUCUAUCCCACAAGCUCUAUCUAAGUUAUCAAAAAUCACGUUUUUAACUGGAAUCAAAUUUUGACUGGAAUCAAGUUUUGACUGGAAUAAUCAAGUUUUGACAUGGCCCCAAUUUUGGGAAAUUGAAGUUACCAGUACUUCAUCUAUCUGUUACAGAAUUCUGAGAGAUCUCUGCUCUCACUGCUCCUUCUUUCCUUUCGUUAAACUCUCUCACAUCCAGUCUUUUUGCUGGAAAUUACAAGUAGAAAGUUGAAAUUACAAUAGUAGAAUUACAGUACAGUAGAAACUAUUUACACAGCUGUAGACUUGUAAUUUUAAUUUUUACUUGGAAUACUUUGGAAUAAACACUGAUAGUUUGGCUUAGAGGUGCAAUUACUUUGAUACAUUAUAUAAAAUUUACACCUUCUUUAAGGUUUUUUGUAAUAAGAUAAACUUGUUAUUUUAUACGACACAUUCAGACUGUUGUAUUCACAAAAAUAUUAAAUUGCAUAACUUCAGAUACAUUUUGCUAGUCCGUUUCAUUGUCAGUAACAUUUGACUAUAGUAGGGUUAUACUAUUCUUAUUUAGGGACAAACCCAUUUCUGUUACUCAGUGUAAGUGUUCAGACACAAUUGUCAUCGAGAAGCUGCCCUGAGGACCCAGACUUCCUGUUUCCUGACUGCUGCAGAACAUCCAGCUGAAGAAUCCUCAUUGCCUGUCAUCUGAUCACCACAUCACCACAGCUGUUUAUAUUUGCUUUACAUUUUAGAUAUCUGAAAGAUUUACACAAAGUCUACUUAAAAACUAAGAGUUUUAUUAUAGCCUGUUGAUUAUUGUGAUUUAUUCUAUACAUCCCUUUACAGAAGCUAAGAUCUAGUCAUUAACAAGUGUGGUUAAAGUAUCAGAAGUAAAAAUAUUGUGUUUUGGAAAAAGCUACAAUAAAACUGAGCAAAGUGUUUUCAAAGAACUGAAUAUCUUUUAUAUUGAGUUUGGAUUAAAGUCAACCUUUUACAUCUAUUUACAUAUUUAUAAAAACAUUGGAACAUUUUAUAUUAUAUUUACAUUUUUUCAGAUUUAAUACUAACUUGAGUAAUUCUUCACUGUUUCCAGGUUGAGCUCUGUUUAUAUCUUUGUAUAUAAGCU
ensembl:lncRNA